CCCAGAAGUUCGAAAAACUGCAAUACAUCGAAAAUCCGCUAGGGACUGGUCCCAAAAGCGAGCAAAUGUCCAUAGACUCCCAUGUUAAAAUGUCCGUUUUCACAGCGUAAAUACAUGUUUUUAAAGCCUGGUCCCAUGGACUUUUAUUGUACUUUUCGGUAGUUUCCCAGUGCCUGACAACUGUGAGGGGGGUGAAUUUUUUCUAACUCAUUAGUUUAGAUCACAUUUAGAUAUAAAAUAUAUGAAUAAUUAAGGGCGUGGUCGGCUUGAUUGACGGCUGACGUCGAGGCAUACAGCAGCAGACGUUGCCAGCUGAGUGGAAACCCUGAAACUUUGACGUCUCAGCCAUGAUUAUACACAAAGUUACCACAUCCUUUCUGAACAUCUUUAUUCAAAAAGCUGACAUAAAAUGGUUUGCUAAGCUAUUUAUUGAAGCCUACUAACCGACACUUUCAGAAGACUUCGUUCCAGUUUUUUCAGUUUCCCUGUAGGUAAUCCAGACAGGCUGGGUGCUGGAGAGGGCUCUGGACUCCUAACUUCAAUUCUCGUCUGUGCAGUCGACACUCGGAAGCAUCACUUCAGCACUGAUUCCAUGAUCUGGAACAUUUUGAAAUCCUACCAGAUGGGGCAGAAGUCAUUGAGCAGUGGCAGCUUCUGAUUUCAAGGACUUGACACCUUUAUUUACAACAUUUGCAUCUGUGUCUUUAAAGUGAUCUAAUAUGUAUUGACUAUGUACUAGCUUAGUACAUAUUAGUUUUUGUUAUUUUAGUUUCACAAAUUCAGUGGUUACCUGUAAUGCUCAAGAUAUACAAGUAAAAAAAUCACCUUUACUUCUGCAUCUGGGUCUUCAAUUCAACCUACUGACUGAAGCUGACGGAUUUGUA